GCCGAAGUGGUGGAACGGUAGACACGCUACGUUCAGGGCGUAGUGGGGGUGACCCCGUGGGGGUUCAAAUCCCCCCUUCGGCACCA
rnacentral:tRNA from 1 species